rnacentral:tRNA from 1 species
GGGCCCGUAGGGUAGCUUGGAUAUCCCAGAGGCCUUCGGAGCCUCUAACCCGGGUUCAAAUCCCGGCGGGUCCG